CCAAUUUCACACCAUUGGGAAAACCACCAAUAGCCCCCAAUCAUCCUGAACCCUUAGGCGGGCUUCAGUUCCUGCCACGCCGAGCAUUUACACUUUCGUACGGAUAAAUAUGUUGAAUCCGAACGGUGUCGCCCUGGGGCCUGGGGUUGCAUUCCCAUUCACAGAGACUAUCCAUGAGGGAGCUGAUUCGUUGGAUGCAAAGAAUUAACUGGAGCAUUAGGCGAUCUGGGAGACAGAAGGUAGAUAAAAGCAGACAGGCCUCCCUUCAGAAUGCGGGUAUUGCAUACAUGACGAAUGUACACAUUUUCCAAAAAAAAACACCUUCAAUACACAAAUCCAUGCGUAUGUUUUUUCCAGCCAUACACAAACCGUGUUGGAAUAUACAAUUGUUUGGCUUUCUUUAAAAUUUAAAAAAUUCAAUAAAUUAAUGAAUAAUAAUGAGAGCUAUGGCUACCCUAGAGACUA